rnacentral:rRNA from 1 species
UGGGGAAUAUUGCACAAUGGGGGAAACCCUGAUGCAGCGACGCCGCGUGAAGGAUGAAGUAUUUCGGUAUGUAAACUUCUAUCAGCAGGGAAGAAAAUGACGGUACCUGAGUAAGAAGCCCCGGCUAACUACGUGCCAGCAGCCGCGGUAAUACGUAGGGGGCAAGCGUUAUCCGGAUUUACUGGGUGUAAAGGGAGCGUAGACGGAUCUGCAAGUCUGGAGUGAAAGCCCGGGGCUCAACCCCGGGACUGCUUUUGAAACUGUAAGGCUUGAUUGCAGGAGAGGCAAGUGGAAUUCCUAGUGUAGCGGUGAAAUGCGUAGAUAUUAGGAGGAACACCAGUGGCGAAGGCGGCUUGCUGGACUGUAAAUGACGCUGAGGCUCGAAAGCGUGGGGAGCAAACAGGAUUAGAUACCC